GACAGAGGGUGCAAGCGUUGUUCGGAAUUACUGGGCGUAAAGGGCUCGUAGGCGGCCAACUAAGUCAGACGUGAAAUCCCUCAGCUUAACUGGGGAACUGCGUCUGAUACUGGAUGGCUUGGAUUCGGGAGAGGAAUGCGGAAUUCCAGGUGUAGCGGUGAAAUGCGUAGAUAUCUGGAGGAACACCGGUGGCGAAGGCGGCAUUCUGGACCGAUAUUGACGCUGAGGAGCGAAAGCCAGGGGAGCAAACGGG
rnacentral:rRNA from 1 species